rnacentral:rRNA from 1 species
GAUGAACGCUGGCGGCGUGCCUAAUACAUGCAAGUCGAGCGAACAGACGAGGAGCUUGCUCCUUUGACGUUAGCGGCGGACGGGUGAGUAACACGUGGGUAACCUACCUAUAAGACUGGGAUAACUUCGGGAAACCGGAGCUAAUACCGGAUAAUAUUUCGAACCGCAUGGUUCGAUAGUGAAAGAUGGCUUUGCUAUCACUUAUAGAUGGACCUGCGCCGUAUUAGCUAGUUGGUAAGGUAACGGCUUACCAAGGCAACGAUACGUAGCCGACCUGAGAGGGUGAUCGGCCACACUGGAACUGAGACACGGUCCAGAGUCCUGCGGGAGGCAGCAGUAGGGAAUCUUCCGCAAUGGGCGAGAGCCUUACGGAGCAACGCCGCGUGAGUGAUGAAGGUCUUCGGAUCGUAAAACUCUGUUAUUAGGGAAGAACAAACGUGUAAGUAACUGUGCACGUCUUGACGGUACCUAAUCAGAGAGCCACGGCUAACUACGUG